UUUAAUUAUCAUAUAUAAAAGUGAAAAUACAAAAUAUAAAUUAAUUUUAGUUGGGGCAACUGGGAGGGAUAAAAAUCUUUUAUUAAAUCAUUUAUAAUAAUAUUUAUAUUUAUGAUCCAAAUUAGUUAAUUUUGAAUUUAGAAU
rnacentral:rRNA from 1 species